GGGGCAUCAAUCUGAUUGGUAACAAUCAAAAUUGGAUGGGAUUUUGGAUCUGCCAUGCUUUCCGGGUUUAAAAGAAGGCAAGAAAUCUGCACAGCCCCAGUUGCCUUUGACCCAAAAUUCAGUUGAUUCAACUGGAAAUCGCAGCAACUCGGCCUGUUGUUGAAUAGCGCAAGUGUUCAAUAUCUGAUUUGACUGCCAUAGACCAGAAUAUUUCUGCAAUUCCAUAGGGCCCAAAAAACGUGACACAGCUCAAAAAGUUGAGUAAAGUAAGAUGCUGAUAAAGAGAAUAAACCCAUUCAAACAUGUAUAUUAGACACAGCUACCUAUUAGGAUAGGAAUUGACAAUUGUUCGUGGGAGUUUUAUCUCUGUUGACAAUUGGUGAUCAAUGCAUGUGUCAUUCAUAUGAUCAUCUCCUACUCUCUGUUGGCCUACUAUUUGUUUCCCAAUAAAUAGAAUUGGUCUCUCCCACUGGCCAUUGGUGGAUGAGUCACGAGUGUAAUGACAUGACUGACUGAUGAAGGAGGCAGCAG
rnacentral:misc_RNA from 1 species